rnacentral:sRNA from 1 species
ACUAUUCGACGGCAGAUCUUCGCAAACGGUUGAGCUGUCGUGCUCUGUUGUUCGGACCGCUUCAGAUGAAACUUGUUGCAUUCUCUGGAGCGACAUCACUCACGGAUUAGGUGUCCAGUGUUUUGUUUGUGUUCGAACGAUACGCGUACGUCUAUGCAUUGGGUCAGCUCAACCAACGAUCCGACCAUGAAGUACUUCGGGACCAUGGCUGUCUGUUGUUUGGAGAUGAUGGGAGAGGAACAGAGUCCAGUCAUGAGUCACAGAGCCACAAACGUAGUCUCCGGGGUCGGAAUGGGCGGCAUCGGUAUCGCGAGAAUGAGGAAUUCUCAUUCCUCACAAGAUGUAGCCUCAAUCACAAAUGAACAGGACUACUGGGCCUACGGUCCAGGCAUCGUCGACAGACUCAAGUCAAAAUUCAUCAAUCUUUCGCUGAACCAGGCUCAAGCCGGAGCUGCCGUUCUCUCGGCCGCAACGAAACGAAGCAAUAUGCGAACAUGCACCUCACUAGAAAAUCUUCAAGAUAAUAACGCUCCGUACAAAGCAAAUCCAGUCAAUACGACACACAAGCUGCUCAUGACAUCCCCAGCGAACAUGAGAGAUCCAAAGAAGUUCGUCCCAAAGAGUCCGUCCAUGGAAAUACUCCUCGACUCAACGCGCAAUCACGGUCCGCCCACGAUUCGAUGUGUUGUGAGCUCUUCGAUAAGUUCGGUCGUCGAAAGCGAACUUCCUCGUAGAGAUACGGUGCGCAAGUACAAAACCUUUUUCGAGCAGAGCUCUUCACCCCAGCAUCAGAGCAGCUCGGUUUCGCCCCCUACCAAGAUGAAUAAUACCUUAUCUUCUUCUUUUCCCGCCUAGCCCACUGGGAUUCUGAAAACCAAAACGUCCCCUGUGAAGAAGCCGGUAGCCAAUAUCAAACCUCUUCUCAAAGAACCGGAACCCGAGCGACGAGACAGUCCUCCCUUGAGCAAGACGAAAGAAGUAACUACGCAAGCCGUCCAAGACGCCGUCCUGAACGAGAUCAAUCUGCAAUCGAAUGGCUACCAAGACAUUAUGAGUAUCGGAUGCGCAGUGGAUACCAAAGUUUCCACCCCGAUCGCACCGCGCACCACUUCCGUCGUGGUCAAGCCCCGAGCUUGUCCCCUGCUGCUCAGUGAGAGCAACUCGAGACCUCAACCAGUAUCCUCGGCGACGUCGAUGGGGAGCUCGAUGGUUUUCGAUUUCCGAGGGAAAGACGUCAAGCCCCAGGUGGCAGUCAUGCCGUCACCGAUAAGGAUCUCUCGCGAAGAGCUCGACGGACCUUCGGAGGACGGUCAAGAGCCGAGUGGUAUAACUUUCAUUGGCGAAAAUGUCGUCAUUGGCCGUGGAUCGUUGAUCUCAACCAGAAACAAGAAUCUCUCGAUACGAUUCGACGAUGACAACCUCUCGUCGAUGUUCGAGUACGAAGCCGAAGAUGACGACACGGAACCGGAAGACGACGAUAUCGGAGCCAAAGGUCUACCGAGUGCAGCCCUUGGGAAUUACAAACCAAAUGCUCUGGACGAAGACGACUUCCAGCUAGGUGUUUCGCGACUGCGGCGGGAGCAACUGCUGACAAGCGAGUCGACAUCGCAGCCCGCUGAGCUUCAGAGCGAGGCUGCCGAGGACGAGUUUCGACCCGCUUCGCAAGACGAGACCUCGACCUACUCGCAGGUCGGGAGCUCGGAUCUCCUGUUCUAGAAUUGUGACACUCGGUGUCGCAUCGACGAGCGAGAAAUGCCAAAAAUUCACAGGCGACGGACUGCCAGCCUUGUGUACAAUAGUCAUCCUUGAUGUAUAUCUCAUCCAGUAGAUACAUAGUGAUCGCUUGUGGAAGAGUUUCGAGAAACAGAUGGCGUCGAGGCGAUCAUUCAGUAGCAACCGAAGGAUCGAGGCGUUGCGCUUCGGCUGAUGUCCCUAGGGUACUCGCUAGGUACAUUGAGACGGAACGUCGACUGCCCCACCACCCGGCUUCCCUGUAGCCUGGCCCAAGUUCGCUCGCUCCGGGCGAGAAUUCCUGGUUUCACGGCCUGCUGGUUGAAGGAAUUAUUGUGAGAGGGGACCCCCAGGUCACAACAGUGAUAUCUCUGCAUUCCUGUACUAAUCCCGGAACGUCUUUUCGGUCUGAAAGGAGGAAUUCGGAACGCGGGAAAGAUUGACGCAGUAUCUGAGUAGCUUUACCCCCGUCCUGAGAACGAUCGGAAGCUCAUAUCAAUCAAGGAAUUUGUCGAUCCAGAAAGCGAUCAAUCAAUCAAUCGAACAUCCGGAUGAAUCUGUUGAUUGGGAAAGCCUAGCCUAAAAGGAGGAAAUUGUGGAUCCGCAUGAACGCGAAUUUCGAAUGGUAAAUUAUCGAGGAGCAACUUGACUGAGAGGUGACGUCCGCUUCCUUAAAAGGAACAAUCAAUUGACUCU